rnacentral:rRNA from 1 species
GAUGAACGCUGGCGGCGUGCCUAAUACAUGCAAGUAGAACGCUGAAGGAGGAGCUUGCUCUUCUGGAUGAGUUGCGAACGGGUGAGUAACGCGUAGGUAACCUGCCUGGUAGCGGGGGAUAACUAUUGGAAACGAUAGCUAAUACCGCAUGACAACAGUUAUUGCAUGAUAACUGUUUAAAAGGGGCAACUGCUCCACUACCAGAUGGACCUGCGUUGUAUUAGCUAGUUGGUGAGGUAACGGCUCACCAAGGCGACGAUACAUAGCCGGCCUGAGAGGGUGAACGGCCACCAUGGGACUGAGACCCGGCCCAGACCCCCACGGGAGGGAGCAGUAGGGAAUCUUCGGCCAAGGACGGAAGGCUGACCGAGCAACGCCGCGUGAGUGAAGAAGGUUUUCGGAUCGUAAAGCUCUGUUGUAAGGGAAGAAAGAGUGUGAGAGUGGAACGUUCACGCUGUGACGGUAUCUUACCAGAAAGGGACGGCUAACUACGUG